rnacentral:rRNA from 1 species
CUGGGGGGACCCUGACGCACCACGCCNCGUGAGUGAAGAAGGCCUUCGGGUUGUAAACCCCUGUCAGGUGGGAAGAAAGUCUCGACGGAUAAUACCCGUCUUGGCCUGACGGUACCACCAAAGGAAGCCCCGGCUAACUCCGUGCCAGCAGCCGCGGUAAUACGGAGGGGGCAAGCGUUAUUCGGAAUUACUGGGCGUAAAGCGCACGUAGGCGGCGAGGCAAGUCAAAGGUGAAAGCCCUCGGCUCAACCGAGGAACUGCCUUUGAAACUGCGUCGCUUGAGUCCGGGAGAGGGGAGCGGAAUUCCCAGUGUAGCGGUGAAAUGCGUAGAUACUGGGAGGAACACCGGUGGCGAAGGCGGCUCCCUGGACCGGUACUGACGCUGAGGUGCGAAAGCGUGGGUAGCAAACAGGAUUAGAUACCCUGGUAGUCCACGCCGUAAACGAUGGGCACUAGGUGCAGCGGGUGUCGACCCCUGCUGUGCCGAAGCUAACGCAUUAAGUGCCCCGCCUGGGGAGUACGUGGCUG